UCUUAUGGAUGAGCAAAGAAAGUAGGUUUUUUAGAUAGAAUCUACUCUUGGUGAAGAUGCUGCUAA
rnacentral:pre_miRNA from 1 species